rnacentral:rRNA from 1 species
AUCAACGCUGGCGGGCGUGCCUAACACAUGCAAGUCGAACGAGAAAGUCCCGCAAAGGGAUGAGGUAAAAGUGGCGCACGGGUGAGUAACACGUAGCUAACCUGCCCUCGAGUGGGGGGAUAACCUGGGGAAACUCGGGCCUAAUACCGCAUAAGGUCCUGGUUGCGCGGAGCAGGCCGGGGUCAGAGGCCCGCAAGGGCCGCUCAAGGGAGGGGGCUGCGGCCGAUUAGCUGGUUGGUGAGGGGUAACGGCCCACCCAAGGCGACGAUCGGUAGCCGGCCUGAGAGGGGCCGCACGGCCCACACUGGCACUGAAACACGGGCCAGACUCCUACGGGUAGGGCAGCAGGUGGGGAAUUUUGCACAAUGCCCGAAAGGGGUGAUGACAGCAACGCCGCGUGGGGGAUGAAGGCCUUCGGGUCGUAAACCUCUUUCGACCGGGAGAAAACGGGCUGGUGAAUAGCCGGCCCUGAUGGUACCCGGAUGAAGAAGCCCCGGCCAAAACUACGUGCCAGCUAGCCGCGGUAAUACGUAGGGGGACGAGCGUUGUUCGGAAUUACUGGGGUCGUAAAGGGCGUGUAGGCGGUGCGGUAAGUCGGGCGUGAAAUCCCCGGCUCAACCCGGGGCGGUCGUUCGAAACUGCCGUGCUAGAGUGCAGGAGAGGGAAGUGGAAUUCCCGGUGGUAGCGGUGAUAAUGCGUAGAUAUCGGGAGGAACACCUGCGGCGAAGGCGUCUUCCUGGACUGCAACUGACGCUGAGGCGCGAAAGCUAGGGGAGCAAACGGAUUAGAUACCCUGGUAGUCCCAUAGCCCUAAACGAUGAGCACUGGGUGGGGCCCUCGUACGGGUCGUGCCGAAGCUACGCAUUAAGUGCUCCGCCUGGGGAGUACGGUCGGCAAGGCUGGAUACCUCAAAGGAAUUGACGGGGGCCCGCACAAGCGGUGAGCAUCGGUGGUUCAAUUCGACGCAACGCGAAGAACCUUACCUGGACUCGAAAUGCAGUCGACCGUCUCCAGAGAAUGAGGCUUUCCCGCAAGGAGACGGCUGUAUAGGUGCUUGCAUGGCUGUCGUCAGCUCGUGUCGUGAGAUGUUGGGUUAAGUCCCGCAACGAGCGCAACCCUCAUCCUUAGUUGCUCGCCCGCAAGGGAAGCAACCACUAAGGAAACUGCCUCCGAUAAGGGGGAGAGGAAGGUGGGGAUGACGUCAAGUCCUCAUGGCCUUUAUGCCCAGGGCUACACACGUGCUACAAUGGCCGGUACAGACCGUUGCCAACCUGCGAGGGGGAGCCAAUCGGUAAAAACCGGUCUCAGUUCGGAUUGCAGUCUGCAACUCGACUGCAUGAAGCUGGAAUCGCUAGUAAUCGCGUAUCAGAACGACGCGGUGAAUACGUUCCCGGGCCUUGUACACCACCAGCCCGUCACAUCACGAAAGUGGGUUGUACUAGAAGUCGCAAUCCUAACCGCAGAGGGAGGUAGCGCCCAAGGUAUGACCCAUGAUUGGGUGA